ACGGCCAUACCACAUUGAAAACACCGGUUCUCGUCCGAUCACCGAAGUUAAGCAAUGUCGGGCCCGGUCAGUACUUGGGAGAGUGACCACCUGGGAACACCGGAUGCUGUAGGCU
rnacentral:rRNA from 1 species